GGGCCGUUAGCUCAGUUGGUAGAGCAUCCGGCUUUUAACCGGAGGGUCGUAGGUUCGAGCCCUACACGGCCCA
rnacentral:tRNA from 1 species